UACGAAGGGUGCAAACGUUGCUCGGAAUUAUUGGGCGUAAAGCGCACGUAGGCGGCUUUGCAAGUCGGAUGUGAAAUCCCUCGGCUCAACCAAGGAAGUGCAUCCGAAACUGCAGAGCUUGAGUACUUAAGAGGAUCGCGGAAUUCCCGGUGUAGAGGUGAAAUUCGUAGAUAUCGGGAGGAACACCAGUGGCGAAGGCGGCUUCCUGGCCUGUUCUUGACGCUGAGGCGCGAAAGCUAGGGGAGCAAACGGG
rnacentral:rRNA from 1 species